rnacentral:rRNA from 1 species
GAUGAACGCUGGCGGCGUGCCUAAUACAUGCAAGUCGAGCGAAGCGGGGACGGGUGAGUAACGCGUGGAAAACCUCCUAUAAGACGGGAAUAACUUGGGGAAACCGGAGCUAAACCGGAUACUUAUCGGUGGAUCUGCGCUGCAUUAGCUAGUUGGUAAGGUAACGGCUUACAAAGGAAACGAUGCAUCGCCGACAUGAGAGGGUGAUCGGCCACACUGGAACUGAGACACGGGCCAGACUCCUACGGGAGGCAGCAGUAGGGAAUCGUCCGCAAUGGGCGAAAGCCUGACGGAGCAACGCCGCGUGAGUGAUGAAGGUCUUCGGAUCGUAAAACUCUGUUAUUAGGGAAGCGGUACCUAAUCAGAAAGCCACGGCGAACUACGUGCCAGCAGCCGCGGUAAUUC